AUACGGAGGAUCCGAGCGUUAUCCGGAUUUAUUGGGUUUAAAGGGUGCGCAGGCGGCCAUUUAAGUCAGCGGUUAAAUCGUGGGGCUCAACCCCAUUCUGCCGUUGAUACUGGGUGGCUUGAUUGCGGUCGAGGUUGGCGGAAUUCGUUGUGUAGCGGUGAAAUGCAUAGAUAUGACGAAGAACACCGAUUGCGUAGGCAGCUGACCAGACCGCAAAUGACGCUCAUGCACGAAAGUGCGGGGAUCGAACAGGAUUAGAUACCCUGGUAGUCCGCACAGUAAACGAUGAAUACUUGUUUUCGGCGAUAUAAUGUCGGAGGCAAAGCGAAAGCGAUAGGUAUUCCACCUGGGGAGUACGCCGGCAACGGUGAAACUCAAAGGAAUUGACGGGG
rnacentral:rRNA from 1 species